rnacentral:rRNA from 1 species
GAGUAAUGUCUGGGAAACUGCCUGAUGGAGGGGGAUAACUACUGGAAACGGUGGCUAAUACCGCAUAACGUCGCAAGACCAAAGAGGGGGACCUUCGGGCCUCUUGCCAUCAGAUGUGCCCAGAUGGGAUUAGCUUGUUGGUGAGGUAACGGCUCACCAAGGCGACGAUCCCUAGCUGGUCUGAGAGGAUGACCAGCCACACUGGAACUGAGACACGGUCCAGACUCCUACGGGAGGCAGCAGUGGGGAAUAUUGCACAAUGGGCGCAAGCCUGAUGCAGCCAUGCCGCGUGUAUGAAGAAGGCCUUCGGGUUGUAAAGUACUUUCAGCGGGGAGGAAGGUGUUGUGGUUAAUAACCGCAGCAAUUGACGUUACCCGCAGAAGAAGCACCGGCUAACUCCGUGCCAGCAGCCGCGGUAAUACGGAGGGUGCAAGCGUUAAUCGGAAUUACUGGGCGUAAAGCGCACGCAGGCGGUCUGUCAAGUUGGAUGUGAAAUCCCCGGGCUCAACCUGGGAACUGCAUUCGAAACUGGCAGGCUUGAGUCUUGUAGAGGGGGGUAGAAUUCCAGGUGUAGCGGUGAAAUGCGUAGAGAUCUGGAGGAAUACCGGUGGCGAAGGCGGCCCCCUGGACAAAGACUGACGCUCAGGUGCGAAAGCGUGGGGAGCAAACAGGAUUAGAUACCCUGGUAGUCCACGCCGUAAACGAUGUCUACUUGGAGGUUGUGCCCUUGAGGCGUGGCUUCCGGAGCUAACGCGUUAAGUAGACCGCCUGGGGAGUACGGCCGCAAGGUUAAAACUCAAAUGAAUUGACGGGGGCCCGCACAAGCGGUGGAGCAUGUGGUUUAAUUCGAUGCAACGCGAAGAACCUUACCUGGUCUUGACAUCCACAGAAGAAUCCAGAGAUGGAUUUGUGCCUUCGGGAACUGUGAGACAGGUGCUGCAUGGCUGUCGUCAGCUCGUGUUGUGAAAUGUUGGGUUAAGUCCCGCAACGAGCGCAAC